CAGUAUUAUAAUCCCCCUGUUGAUUGGGCCUGUCUAGUGGGAGGGGCCAUGGGGUAUAAAAAGGGUGAGCUGCGGUCUGACAGUCUGCUGUAUGCUGUUGCCAGAAGAGGUUAUCUGUAUUGAGCAGGGUGCUCAGCUCUCCACGAGAUGCUAAAUAUCUACUGAGGUUAAAGACUUUUUGAAGUAAAGAGGAGCAUCUCAUCUGACCCUGAUGUCUAUAGUGGAUAUUUAACUGCAGUUCUGUGAGUAUCCCAACUUAACCAUGAAGAUGAACUGCAAACUGUAAGUCAUUAAUUUCUCAUUACUCUUGGGCACAUUGAUGUAUUUUGGCUUCCUGGUACCUGUUACCUGAAGGUUCAGCUGAGUAUUAAGGAUGUUUUAUUGGUUCGGGGGUUACUUAAGUGUUUGGUUUAUGUUUGUUAAAAUGGUUACAGGUUCCAAGUUAUUGUUUUAAGCUGGAGUAAUCGGUUGGGUUCUGACAUCUUCAGUCUUCUUUCAUUCUACUCUCCUGAGCUCUGCAUCUUCAUCACAUGAGUGCUGCUUUACAGAUGAUGGUGUGGUCUGGUCUGAGUGAGCAGAGGUGCAUACUGGGAUACAGAGCUGUCUGAAGUCUACAGGGAUUCAGAAGGAGAAACACCAGGGGGAGAUGAGGGGGCUCCUCAUCUCAACGACUAAAACACAACUUCAGUCUGACACAGAGAACCAUGGAACACGUUCAACAGUCCCCUCCAGGCAUCGAGACUCCUCAGGAACAGCUUCAUUUCCAUGAAGGUCUUAUUUGGGGCCAUCCCCAGGUGGAUCCUGCUCCUCAAGAGCCACCCCCCUCCACUGUGUGGUCUUCUGAACAGAUGACCUCCUUCCUGUCCUCAGGCUGACUAAAGCUGCACCGUUUGCAUCUGUGAAGGCCCCUCAUUCAGGAAACCACUGGACUACAAAGACAUGACUUCCGAGACGUUGAAUCAACCUGGGACACAUUUUGGAGACGCCAAGCAUAAUCCAUCACCAAUGUGGGACGCCACUGAAGAAUGUUGUACAUAAUUUAUGUCUCUGGAGACAUUGGUUGUUCUGUUCUGGGUGCCCUGGCAGGAGAGCUGGGGGGGGGUGAUGGAAUGUUAUUUGGCAUGAGGUUUUUACCCUGCAUGAUUGUUUGGCCUUUUAUGGCUCAGUGGUGCGUGUGUUUGGGUUUGACAUGAGAUGGAUGAUUUUUGAGCAUCACUAGGGUUCUACUGUGUGUGUCUCCCUCUCACACCUGGCAUGGGGUUCUACGUGCCUGUUCUGUGUGUCCGGCUUGCUUCGACCGUGAUAAUGAUCAUACGGGGGUCUGUGUGAUUGGCUUGGGAUUUGGAAUGGUCAAAUAAAUCAUACCUGAUGGACGGCCACACGUUUACUUAAGGGCCUCCAGUAGACGUGAAGAGCCCUGAGCGACACUCCGGAGCGAUAUCCAACACACUGGGCAGGAGGGAGAGUAUCCAAAUCAAGUGUAAGGAUGCAAGCGGCGUGUUCAGAUCAGUGACUCUAGGACUACACCAAUCAGGAUCAAUGGAGGAUGGACACCUAAAGGCAUUCACAAGGAGAGUCUGACGUUGGAAAGGGACCUAAUUGGAUAUUCAAGAUGACCUUCAGACCUGUAAUGAGACGGCUCUUCCUACCUGGCUGGAUUGAUGGAGAGCCCUGUGGAUCUUGUCUUGCUCUCAGUUCCACGUCUUCUCAGGCUGAACUGUAUUUGUUUCGGACAGGACCAGCUGAACGAUUGGUUCCCUUAAAUCAGAACCAAUCCGGGAACUCCAGUUAGUGCGCUCUUCAAGCUGAAGUUGUGCCUUUCAGCUGAGGAGGUAACACGGGAUUCCACCGCACGCUGCCCGGCGUCCAUUCCUACCGGGCGCGUAACGGCAGCGUAGCGCUGCCUUGCGAGCCAGCCGUAUUCACGCAAGAUCACGCGAUAAUCCUAAACAUAAUGUACUCACCUUCCACUCCCAAAACUAUUGCAUUUAAAUGCCACGCUUUGUCCUUUCUGACAUUUUCCUUAUAAAAAGGAUGAUUUGGUACAUAAAUGACUUCAUGUUGCUGAACUACGACAAUGAGUCUCGUCGUCCAUGUUGCCGACCCUCUGAGACCCUUUGAUUGACUGCUGACCUGGUGCCACCGGUCAUGACGUAAUACUGUUGAUGUGAAGUUACAUGAGCUGAGUAUUGUGUUUUAUUUUGAAAAUUGACCGGAUGCUCUCUUGCUUUUACUUUUCACUUCCUGCCCGGCUCGACCUGCUCUGUCGAAAUUGACGCGGUUUAGCAGCGGCUCGCGGCAAAAAUAGAAUUAGGACGGAAAGAUAGCGCCGCGGCGCAGGACGCCGCUCCUGGGACGCUGCUGAAACGUUCCGCGGCGUGCCCGGUGGAAAUGGUCUCAUUGAUUAGAGUGGAAGCGAUCAGCAGCGGUGACCGCGGCGUAGCCGUCCCGCGGCACGUACGCCUCCGGUGGAAUCAGGCCUUAAGGAAACCUUCAUUGGGGCUUCAAGGUGUAAAGAGGAGAAUGUUUCAAAGUGUUCCAUGGUACUCUGAUGAGGACCGUUGUUGUGUUCCACUGGCUGAGAGGAAGAACCCUCCAUCUUCCUCUUGGGCUUUCUCCUCUGAGAAUCCUGGCGCCAUCUUGAAGAAUAUUCCAGCUCAUGUAACUGAUGUCACGACCGAUUCUCAAACACUUGGUUUCUCCUGAGGGGCGUGUCUAAAGAACUGAAGACUUCAGACAGCACUGUAUCCCAGCAUGUAUCUCUGCUCACUCAGACCACACCCCCAUGGUAGGAUGCAACACUCUCGUGAUGGAGAUGUAGAGUUUUAUAAGUAACGAGGGAGCAGACAAAGGUGAUUAGAACAAAAUGGAAUGUCAAAUCUGUAAAUCUUUAAGCCAUGAAGAUGGUUGGAUAGUUCAGGAAUUGGGCUUCUUUUUAUUAUGGGCAGUCCUUUUUCUCAGAUGCCCACUUCUCACUGGAGCUGUACAUGUGUUGGCUGGUUGGCAUGAUUUGCUGUUGUUGAUGAGGCGGUCAGGGUGACGUUGCAGGGCUAUGGUCGGCUCUCUGUGAGCUCAACGUUUAGAUUUGCUCUGUAUGGUUUGUACCCUGAAUAAUCUAGAUAAUUGUAAAAUGUAGACACGGUUUUGUAUUGAAUGAUUCAAGGAUUUUAGGUUUAAAGUUGUUGUGGGACGUACAUGGUAGUUUGGUUCUUCGUACGGUUUUGAGUGAUAUAACUUGUACACACUGGGUGCAUAAUAAUGUAAAUGUACACUGAAUAGUAGUAAUGACCAACAGCAACAAACAGAUCUCCUCAAGGUAAGUCUGUUGGCUGUGUUUUAAUGAAGACCAUCGCUGGACUUCAGGAUCUUCCUCCGUUCAGCUCAAGGUGAGGCGCUGGUUCUGUUUUUCUUUGGUUGGUUCCGGCCGGAAUGUUCGGAUUCCAGUCGGACGGUUUGUGCUUCCCGCCGUGGAAGAUUUUGAGUGCGGUCACUUGUUUUAGUCCCAAUGGUUAGCAUAGAACGUUGUAGUCUUGACAACCAUAAGAAACCACCUGGCAGUUAGUUGGACGGGAGUCCCCUGAGGGGAUCUGGCGGAACGUUCUGGACUUCUUUUUGGCGUAAACUCGAGCCGUUGCCAACGGAAACUAUUUUUCAGUCGGUUUCCAUUGGGAAUUGUUGCCCCUAUCUUAAACAACUUAUGGUUGAUAUUAAAUACAUACUGACACGUACGUCGUACAAUAUGUUGAUCAUUUCCGAUGGUUGCGCGGCCGUACUUUUAACCACGAUGACGUGACGGGAAUCUCGUUGCGUACAAAACGGCGUUCUACUUGCGGCCCCAAUUUUGACAUCAGUGAAGGCUGAAAAUCAUUUCAAGUUGGAUGAUAAUUUGACAUUUCUUCAACGGAACCCAGCACCUGAAUAUGGCUGAGUAUAUUUGAUUUAAUAUCGAUGGCUUAGUGUUCUUUGUUACUUCAGCUUUUGUAUGUUCUAAAUAUCUGCUGUCAUUAAUUGCCACAGAAGUUAAACCCUACCCAAUGGAAUGACGUUAAACAACGACUUUGGUGCAGAGUAACCAACUGGAUAAUAUCAAAGCUAAAAUAAUGUCCGUCUUUCCCACAUGUUACAGUAGAAGAUACUCUAGAACUGUACAAGGUUAAAAAGGUAACAUGUAGUUUGUCUCAAGGUGUCUGCCUCCUCACCCAGAGCAAGACCUCCACCUCCUCACCCAGAGCCAGACCUCCACCUCCUCACCCAGAGCCAGACCUCCACCUACUGUCAGAAGUCCACCAGAACAGGUCAGUGCUCUGGUGUGUGAGUAGAGUCUUCUCAGCUGAAAUGCAAGGCUGAGAGGCUGGGGACCGGAGGCUUGUGGUGCCAGGGUGGACCGGGGACUGAGGCUGGAGAUCAGGGGCCUGCAGCACCGGACCAGAGGAUCAGGAAUCCAUGGCUGAAGGAGCUGAUGGAGGAGCCGAGCUGAUGGAGGAGCCGAGCUGGAGGAGCCAUACUGAUGGAGCUGAUGGAGGAGUCGUGCUGAAGGCCCUGUCUGGUGGAGGAGCUGGUGGAGGCCCUGCCUGGUGAAGGACGUCUGUCGUGGGACCAGGACUCUGUCUGAGGAGAGCUGCUGGAGGAGCUGAGACGCUGGAGGACGACGAGGAAUCGAUCAACAAGGAUUCCUCAACGUGUUUCUGGAGCGAAGGCGAGCUGGUAGGGGAGCCGUGAAUCUGGAGGAUGACCAUCACUCUACCAACAAGGAUUACGUUAGGGCCAGACUCGCGCUGUUUGUUCCAGACCAGGACUCUGGCUGAGGAUACCUGAUGGAGGAGCCAAGACUCUGGAGGACGACAUCACUCUACCAACAAGGAUCCUCGUCUAUCAUGGAUAUUUAACUGCAGUUCUGUGAGUAUUCCAACUUAACCAUGAAGCUGAACUGCAAACUGUAAGUCAUAAGUUUCUCAUUACUCUUGGGCACAUUGAUGUAUUUUGGCUUCCUGGUGAGUUAGCCCGUUACCUGAAGGUUGAUCUGAGUAGUAAGGAUGUUUUAUUGGUUCAUGGGUUACUUAGGUGUUUGGUUUAUGUUGGUUUUAAUGAUUUGUUAAAAUGGUUACAGGCUCCAAGUGAUUGGUGUAAGCUGGAGUAAUUGUUUGGGCUCUGAUAUCAUCAGUCGUCUUUUCAGCUACUCUCCUGAGCUCGGCAUCUUCAUCACAUGAGUGUUGCUUUACUGAUGAGGGUGUUGUCUGAGUGAGCAGAGGUGCAUACUGGGACACAGAGCUGUCUGAAGUCUACAGGUCUGCCAGACCCGCCCCCUCAGGGGAAACCAAGUGUUUGAGAAACCGUCGAGACGUCAGUUACAUGGACUGGAAUGUUCUUUAAAAUGGACUCAGGGAUUCAGAAGGAGAAACACCAGGGGGAGAUGAGGGGGCUCCUCAUCUCAACGACUAAAACACAAUUUCAGUCUGACACAGAAGCUAUGGAACACAUUCAACAGUCCCCUCCAGGCAUCAUGACUCCUCAGGAACGGUUUCAUUUCCAUGAAGGUCUUUUUUGGGGCCAUCCCAAGGUGGAUCCUGCUCCUCAAGAACCACCCCCCUCCACUGGGUGGUCUUCUGAACAGACGUCCUCCUUCCUGUCCUCAGGCUGACUAAAGCUGCACCGUUUGCAUCUGUGAAGGCCCCUCAUUCAGGAAACCACUGGACUCCAAAGACAUGACUUCAGAGACGUUGAAUCAACCUGGGACACACUUUGGAGACGACAAGCAUAAUUCAUUACCAAUGUGGGACGCCACUGAAGAAUGUUGUACAUAAGUAAACGUCUCUGGAGACAUUGGUUGUUCUGUUCUGGGUGGCCUGGCAGGAGAGCUGGGGGGGGGAUGAUGGAAUAUUAUUUGGCAUGAGGUUUUAACCCUGCAUGAUUGUUUGGCCUUUUAUGGCUCAGUAGUGUGUGUGUUUGGGUUUGACAUGAGAUGGAUGAUAUUUGAGCAUCGCUAGGGCUAUACUGUGUGUGGGUGUCUCCCACUCACACCUGGCAUGGGGUUCUACGUGCCUGUCCUGGGUUCUAUGUGUGUGUGUGUCCGGCUUGCUUUGACAGUGAUAAUGUUCACACGGAGUCUGUGUGAUUGGCUUGGGAUAUUGGAAUGGUCAAAUAAAUCAUACCUGAUGGACGGCCACACGUUUACUUGGGGGGGGCCUCCAGUAGACCUGAAGAGCUCUGAGCGACGCUCCGGAGCGAUAUCCAACACACUGGGCAGGAAGGAGAGUAUCCAAAUCAAGUGUCAAAGGAUGCAAGCGGCGUGUUCAGAUCAGUGACUUCAAACUAGGACUACACCAAUCAGGAUCAAAGGAGGAUGGACACCUAAAGGCAUUCCACAAGGAGUCUGACGUUGGAAAGGGACCUAAAUGGAUAUUCAAGAUGACCUUCAGACCUGUAAUGAGACGGCUCUUCCUACCUGGCUGGAUUGAUGGAGAGCCCUAUGGAUCUUGUCUUGCUCUCAGUUGCACGGCUUCUCAGGCUGAACUGUGUUUCUUUCGGACAGGACUAGCUGAACGAUUGGUUCCCUUAAAUCAGAACCAAUCCGGGAACUCCAGCUAGUGUGCUCUUCGAGCUGAAGUUGUGCUCUUCAGCUGAGGAGGUAAGGAAACCUUCACUGGGGCUUCAAGGUGUAAAGAGGAGAAUGUUUCAAAGUGUUCCAUGGUACUCUGAUGAGGACCGUUGUUGUGUUCCACUGGCUGAGAGGAAGAACCCUCACAUCAUCCUCUUGGCCUUUCUCCUGAGAAUACUGGCGCCAUCUUGAAGGAUAUUCCAGCUCAUGUAACUGAUGUCACGACAGAUUCUCAAGCACUUGGUUUCUCCUGAGGGGCGUGUCUAUAGAACUGAAGACUUCAGACAGCACUGUAUCCCAGCAUGUAUCUCUGCUCACUCAGACCACACCCCCAUGAGUAGGAUGCAACACUCUCGUGAUGGAGAUGUAGAGUUUUACAAGUAACGAGGGAGCAGACAAAGGUGAUUAGAACACAAUGGAAUGUGAAGUCUGUAAAUCUUUAAGCCAUGAAGAUGGUUGGAUACUUCAGGAAUUUAGCUUUUUAUUAUGGGCAGUCCUUUCACUCAGAUGCCCACUUCUCAUUGGAGCUGUACAUGUGUUGGCUGGCUGGCAUGAUUUGCUGUUGUUGAUGAGGCGGUCAGGGUGAAGUUGCAGGGCUAUGGUCGGCUCUCUGUGAGCUCAACAUUUAGAUUUGCUCUGUAGGGUUUGUACCCUGAAUAAUCUAGAUAAUUGUAAAAUGUAGACUCGGUUUUGUAUUGAAUGAUUCCAGGAUUUUAGGUUUAAAGUUGUUGUGGGACGUACAUGGUAGUUUGGUUCUUCGUACGGUUUUGAGUGAUGUAACUUGUACACACUGGGUGCAUAAUAAUGUAAAGGUACACUGAAUAGUAGUAAUGACCAACAGCAACAAACAGAUCUCCUCAAGGCAAGUCUGUUGGCUGUGUUUUAAUGAAGACCAUCGCUGGACUUCAGGAUCUUCCUCCGUUCAGCUCAAGGUGAGGCGCUGGUUCUGUUUAUUCUUUGGUUGGUUCCGGCCGGAAUGUUCGGAUUCCAGUCGGACGGUUUGUGCUUCCCGCCGUGGAAGGUUCUGAGUGCGGUCACUUGAUUUGGUCCCAAUGGUUAGCAUAGAACGUUGUAGUAUUGACAACUAUUAGAAACCACCUGGCAGUUAGUUGGAAGGGGAGUCCCCUGAGGGGAUCUGACGGAACGUUCUGGAUUGUAUUUGCGUAACCUCGAGCCGUUACCAACGGAAACUAUGUUUCAGUCGGUUUCCAUUGGGAAUUGUUGCCCCUUAUCUUAAAAAACUUAAGUUUGAUAUUAAAUGCAUACUGACAUGUACGUCGUACAAUAUGUUAAUUUUCGAUGGUUGCGCCGUACUUUUACCACGUUGACGGGACUCUCACUGCGUACAAAACGGCGUUCUACUUGCGGCCCCAAUUUUGGCUUCAGUGAAGGCUGAAAAUCAUUACAAGGUGGAAGGCAAUUUGACAUUUCUUCAACGGAACCCAGCACCUGAAUAUGGCUGAGUAAAUUUGAUUUAAUCUCGAUACUGCUUAGUGUUCUUUGUUACUUCAGCUUUUGUACGUUCUAAAUAUCUGCUACCAUUAAUUGCCACAGAAGUUAAACCCUAUCCAAUGGAAUGACGUUAAACAACGACUUUGGUGCAGAGUUACCAACUGGAUAAUAUCAAAGCUAAAAUAAUGGCUGUCAUUCCCACAUGUCACAGUAGAUGAUACUCUAGAACUGUACGAGGUUAAAAAGGUAACAUGUAGUUUGUCCCAUGGUGUCUGCCUCCUCACCCAGAGCAAGACCUCCACCUCCUCACCCAGAGCCAGACCUCCACCUACUGUCAGAAGUCCUCCAGAACAGACCAGGAGUCCAUGUCUGGAGGAGCCUUGCUGAAGGAGCUGAUGGAGAUGCCGUGCUGAAGGAGCUGAUGGAGGAGCCGUGCUGAAGGAGCUGAUGGAGGAGUCGUGCUGAAGGCCCUGCCUGGUGGAGGAGCUGGUGGAGGCCCUGCCUGGUGAAGGACGUCUGUCGUGGGGUAGAUGGAGCUUGACUCUGAAGUGAUCAUCACACUGACUGCCACUUCUCGUAGAACACUGCUAUCACAAACUACCGGCGUUUGUACCAUAUAUACCAGACGACUACAUCUGUUUUACCACAUGUUGAAUCAAGACUUCCGCUGUUUGUUCCAGACCAGGGGCCUCAUGUACUAAGGUUGCGUACGCACAAAAACGUGGCGUACGUCCUUUUCCACGCUCAAGUUCAGAUGUACAAAACGUGAAAUUACCGUAAAAAUGUGCGGUCCCCACGCCAGCUCCAGAGCUGUCGUACGCACGUUUCUACAGCUAUUGUUCCUUUGGCGACACUUAGAGGUGACGCUGGGAAACUGGGAAAAAAUGUGAAAACAAUGACUCAGAGUGAUUUGCACAUCAAAGACACACUAAUGAACAAUUAACACACCUUGCAAUUAUAUGGGUGGCUAUAAAAGCAUGCGCAAUGGAUGAAGAAAAUUGUUUUAAAAAUGGCUGCGUUAGCGUUGUUAAAGGACAUCGCAAAUGGUCAAAUCCGAAUCCGUGCCCUCUCCUUGCUUGUCUAUUCAAAAAUAAAAAAUUUAAGUUAAUAAACACGAGUCAAAGUCUUUAAUAUCCUGGCAUCUUUACGCGCGACUUAUGUGUAUUGCAAGCAGCCAAUUGUAUGACCAGUAUAAUUACAGCAUUUAUGACUUCAGCAUAUUUACCUUGGGGAUGAUCGGCGUCCCCUUCAUGGGCUCCCACCACUCCGGUGAGAGCUGUGUCACCGAUCAAAGCGGCCACUCUCAAAUCGAAGGGGGAGAGUUCCCCCACUCCCGUCCCCCACCUGUUGC
ensembl:lncRNA